rnacentral:rRNA from 1 species
CCUACGGGUGGCAGCAGUGGGGAAUAUUGGACAAUGGGCGAAAGCCUGAUCCAGCCAUGCCGCGUGUGUGAAGAAGGCCUUCGGGUUGUAAAGCACUUUCAGUGGGGAAGAAAGCCUUGGGGCUAAUACCCUCGAGGAAGGACAUCACCCACAGAAGAAGCACCGGCUAACUCCGUGCCAGCAGCCGCGGUAAUACGGAGGGUGCGAGCGUUAAUCGGAAUUACUGGGCGUAAAGCGCGCGUAGGCGGUCUGAUAAGCCGGUUGUGAAAGCCCCGGGCUCAACCUGGGAACGGCAUCCGGAACUGUCAGGCUAGAGUGAAGGAGAGGAAGGUAGAAUUCCCGGUGUAGCGGUGAAAUGCGUAGAGAUCGGGAGGAAUACCAGUGGCGAAGGCGGCCUUCUGGACUGACACUGACGCUGAGGUGCGAAAGCGUGGGUAGCAAACAGGAUUAGAUACCCCAGUAGUC